CGCCGUGUCGCCGGGCGCCGCCCGCGCCCGUCGCGGCGGCAGCCCACCACCUACAUCAGCGCCGACCCGGCCAACUUCCGCCGCAUGGUGCACCAGAUCACCGGCGCGGACGACCUCCCGCCGCCUCCGCCUGCGCUCUCUCCGCCGACGGAGCUCGUCCGCCCGGUGCGCGCUCCUCUGAUGCUGCCGACUCUCGACACGUCGGCGUUCCUGCUCGGCGGGGAGGCACCGGUCGUCCCGCGGACGGAGGCCGCGGUCGCGACGCCGCCGUGCGACGGCUCGCUGGCGUUGUUAGGAGGAGCGGCGCCUAAUUACAACAACAGCAAUAGCAGCGGCAACAAAAAUGGGUUCCCGACCUUGGACUCGUGGGAUCUUCUGUAAAUCAUAUCGAUCGAUUUCUGAUUCUUCAUAUAUAGAUGUAAUCAAGAGCAAGACAAGAUCGACGAACAGAGGCAUCUCUCUGAUUCUCUGUUCGUGUGCUUGUUAAUUUAAGCUUACGAUGUCUCAUAUACACAUGGAAGAGGUUUUAGCAUCAGUAUUAAUUUGUGCUACCUACUUAAUUGUUAUGUUUGAUGCGAUCUUCCUUCUGCUUAGUUCCAGCAGCAUUCUCAAGUUUCUUAAUUUUUAGAGGAUUUUGAUUCUUGUGAAUUGAAUUGUGGAGUAGCACACUUCACUGCAGCUCUUCUUUUGUCUGUUUGAUCGAUUGUCUCUUAUUUCUCACUUGGUUAAUUUUUUAGCUGCUCCAGUAGCAUAUAUGAAUAAAUAC
rnacentral:lncRNA from 1 species